rnacentral:rRNA from 1 species
UACGUAGGUGGCAAGCGUUGUCCGGAAUCAUUGGGCGUAAAGAGCGUGUAGGCGGCCCGAUAAGUCCGCCGUGAAAGUCCAGGGCUCAACCCUGGAAUGCCGGUGGAUACUGUCGGGCUCGAAUCCGGAAGAGGUGAGUGGAAUUCCUGGUGUAGCGGUGAAAUGCGCAGAUAUCAGGAGGAACACCAAUGGCGAAGGCAGCUCACUGGGACGGUAUUGACGCUGAGACGCGAAAGCGUGGGGAGCAAACAGG